UCGUUUAAGCCUUAAUUAUAAUUUUGAGUUAAAAUAAGAAACUUUCUAAAGAGAAAAAAUAUGGUUAUGAAAUGUGUCAAAAAACUAAUGUUGGUGAUCACAAACUUGCAUAUCCUUAUUCUCUUUAGUGUGCAAGCCAAUAACCUUGCCGCAACCUCAUUAACUCUGUCUUCACCUCCCAUAUUGCCUCCUUAUUCCUCUAAACUUGAUACUGGAGAAUUGCAUUUGUGCCUUACACAUGUAGUUGGUCAGUGUGCUGGAAUUAAAAGCACAUGGCCAUCACCUGACAAAGUAUAUGAACUUUGUAUAGAUAGCGCUUUUGCAAUGUGCUUCACUUCAAUCCGAGUUCUUGAAGACCCACUUAAUUAUCUUAUCCUUAAAAAUUGCAUCAAAGUCAAAUGCGAGCCAAUAGUGAGAAUUAAAGACAAACAUCGUCAAAGUAACCUUUUUACUCAUUGUUUAUUGCGAUGUUUUUAUCAGCAUGUCACCAACCCCAAGGAUGUCAUUUCAAGGUAGAAUCGUUGAGUUUCAACUUUGAUGUGGUUAUGAAGAAGAGGAGUAUCACGAUUGUCCAGACCUUUAGGUGAUCUUGGUAGCAGUGUCUGAGGCUAUGAUGCCUCCCAUUUUUGUGGACUACUAUGUCUAGUCCAUUAUUAUUAUUAUAUUCGGAAAACAAUAUUUAUAUUUCUGUUGGUAUGUAAUAAUAAUAUUAUGAGUGUUUUGGUUGUAAAUUAUCCGUACCAUAUGUGGCACAAAUACUAUUUUCUAGUGUCAUUAUUCAGUUUCACUCUUUUAUCUA